AUUGAACGCUGGCGGCAUGCUUUACACAUGCAAGUCGAACGGUAGCGCGGGUUCCGGUCUGGCCGCGUGUGGCGCAGGGGUGUGUAACGCAUCGGAAUGUGCCCAGUAGUGGGGGAUAGCGGGGAGAAAGUCGGUAAUAUCGCACACACUAUCAGAGGGGGAACGGGGGGGAGCGAAAGCUUUCGCGCUUUGGGAGCCGCCGAUGGCGGAUUAGCUAGUUGGUGGGAUAAAGGCUUACCAAGGCGACGAUCCGUAGCUGGUCUGAGAGGACGACCAGCCACACUGGGACUGAGACACGGCCCAGACUCCUACGGGAGGCAGCAGUGGGGAAUUUUGGACAAUGGGGGCAAGCCUGAUCCAGCCAUGCCGCGUGCAGGAAGAAGGCCUUCGGGUUGUAAACCGCUUUUGUUCGGGAAGAAAAGCUCUGGGCUAAUACCCCGGGGGGAUGACGGUACCGGAAGAAUAAGCACCGGCUAACUACGUG
rnacentral:rRNA from 1 species